rnacentral:rRNA from 1 species
GAGUUUGAUCAUGGCUCAGAACGUACGCUGGCGGCACGCCUAACACAUGCAAGUCGAACGCAGUAGCAAUACUGAGUGGCAAACGGGUGAGUAUAAUGUGGGAAUCUGCCUUUUGGUCUGGAAUAACACGGGGAAACUUGUGCUAAUACCUGAUAAGCCCUUACGGGGAAAGUUUUAACGCCGAAAGAUGAGCCUGCACUUGAUUAGCUUGUUGGUAAGGUAAAAGCUUACCAAGGCAAUGAUCAAUAGCUGUUCUUAGAGGAAGACCAGCCACAUUGGGACUGAGACACGGCCCAGACUCCUACGGGAGGCAGCAGUGGGGAAUCUUGCACAAUGGGGGAAACCCUGAUGCAGCGAUGCCGCGUGAGUGAAGAAGGCCCUUGGGUUGUAAAACUCUUUCGUCGGGGAAGAAAAUGACUGUACCCGAAUAAGAAGGUCCGGCUAACUUCGUGCCAGCAGCCGCGGUAAUACGAAGGGACCUAGCGUAGUUCGGAAUUACUGGGCUUAAAGAGUUCGUAGGUGGUUGAAAAAGUUGGUGGUGGAUCCCAGAGCUUAACUCUGGAACUGCCAUCAAAACUUUUCAGCUAGAGUUUGAUAGAGGAAAGCAGAAUUUCUAGUGUAGAGGUGAAAUUCGUAGAUAUUAGAAAGAAUACCAAUUGCGAAGGCAGCUUUCUGGAUCAUUACUGACACUGAGGAACGAAAGCAUGGGUAGCGAAGAGGAUUAGAUACCCUCGUAGUCCAUGCCGUAAACGAUGUGUGUUAGACGUUGGAAAUUUAUUUUCUGUGUCGCAGCGAAAGCGAUAAACACACCGCCUGGGGAGUACGACCGCAAGGUUAAAACUCAAAUGAAUUGACGGGGACCCGCACAAGUAGUGGAGCAUGUGGUUUAAUUCGAAGAUACGCGCAGAACCUUACCAACACUUGACAUGUUCGUCGCGACUUUAAGAGAUUAAAGUUUUCGGUUCGGCCGGACGAAACACAGGUGCUGCAUGGCUGUCGUCAGCUCGUGUCGUGAGAUGUUGGGUUAAGUCCCGCAACGAGCGCAACCCUCACUUUUAGUUGCCAUCAUUAAGUUGGGCACUCUGAAAGAACUGCCAGUGAUAAGCUGGAGGAAGGUGGGGAUGACGUCAAGUCCUCAUGGCCCUUACGUGUUGGGCUACACACGUGCUACAAUGGUAUCUACAACAGGAAGCAAAACAGCGAUGUUAAGCAAAUCCUUAAAAGAUACCUCAGUUCGGAUUGCACUCUGCAACUCGAGUGCAUGAAGCUGGAAUUACUAGUAAUCGUGGAUCAGCGUGCCACGGUGAAUGCGU